CAGGACGAACGCUGGCGGCGUGCCUAAUACAUGCAAGUCGAACGAACUCUGGUAUUGAUUGGUGCUUGCAUCAUGAUUUACAUUUGAGUGAGUGGCGAACUGGUGAGUAACACGUGGGAAACCUGCCCAGAAGCGGGGGAUAACACCUGGAAACAGAUGCUAAUACCGCAUAACAACUUGGACCGCAUGGUCCGAGUUUGAAAGAUGGCUUCGGCUAUCACUUUUGGAUGGUCCCGCGGCGUAUUAGCUAGAUGGUGGGGUAACGGCUCACCAUGGCAAUGAUACGUAGCCGACCUGAGAGGGUAAUCGGCCACAUUGGGACUGAGACACGGCCCAAACUCCUACGGGAGGCAGCAGUAGGGAAUCUUCCACAAUGGACGAAAGUCUGAUGGAGCAACGCCGCGUGAGUGAAGAAGGGUUUCGGCUCGUAAAACUCUGUUGUUAAAGAAGAACAUAUCUGAGAGUAACUGUUCAGGUAUUGACGGUAUUUAACCAGAAAGCCACGGCUAACUACGUGCCAGCAGCCGCGGUAAUACGUAGGUGGCAAGCGUUGUCCGGAUUUAUUGGGCGUAAAGCGAGCGCAGGCGGUUUUUUAAGUCUGAUGUGAAAGCCUUCGGCUCAACCGAAGAAGUGCAUCGGAAACUGGGAAACUUGAGUGCAGAAGAGGACAGUGGAACUCCAUGUGUAGCGGUGAAAUGCGUAGAUAUAUGGAAGAACACCAGUGGCGAAGGCGGCUGUCUGGUCUGUAACUGACGCUGAGGCUCGAAAGUAUGGGUAGCAAACAGGAUUAGAUACCCUGGUAGUCCAUACCGUAAACGAUGAAUGCUAAGUGUUGGAGGGUUUCCGCCCUUCAGUGCUGCAGCUAACGCAUUAAGCAUUCCGCCUGGGGAGUACGGCCGCAAGGCUGAAACUCAAAGGAAUUGACGGGGGCCCGCACAAGCGGUGGAGCAUGUGGUUUAAUUCGAAGCUACGCGAAGAACCUUACCAGGUCUUGACAUACUAUGCAAAUCUAAGAGAUUAGACGUUCCCUUCGGGGACAUGGAUACAGGUGGUGCAUGGUUGUCGUCAGCUCGUGUCGUGAGAUGUUGGGUUAAGUCCCGCAACGAGCGCAACCCUUAUUAUCAGUUGCCAGCAUUAAGUUGGGCACUCUGGUGAGACUGCCGGUGACAAACCGGAGGAAGGUGGGGAUGACGUCAAAUCAUCAUGCCCCUUAUGACCUGGGCUACACACGUGCUACAAUGGAUGGUACAACGAGUUGCGAACUCGCGAGAGUAAGCUAAUCUCUUAAAGCCAUUCUCAGUUCGGAUUGUAGGCUGCAACUCGCCUACAUGAAGUCGGAAUCGCUAGUAAUCGCGGAUCAGCAUGCCGCGGGUGAAUACGUUCCCGGGCCUUGUACACACCGCCCGUCACACCAUGAGAGUUUGUAACACCCAAAGUCGGUGGGGUAACCUUUUAG
rnacentral:rRNA from 2 species